GAGAUGGGACAAGGCUGACGGAGUAAAGUGGAAAUGACCACGGGUACUGUACUAUCUGAAACGCCGACCGUCUGGGCAGAACUU
rnacentral:ncRNA from 2 species